AAAAAUUUCAAACCCUAGGAUUCUCGAUUCCUCCUCCAAAUCCGUCUUCCAUGGCGAUAUCGGCUCCAGCCGCUUGUUCCUCUUCAUCUAGAAUCCUCUGUUCCUACUCCGCACCUUCUCCUUCUCUUUAUCCCGCACCUGUUUCCGCCAUUUCCACCUCUGGCAAGCUCAAAACCCUAACUCUCUCUUCCUCUUUCCUCCCUUCUUACUCACUGACCACUACCUCCGCUUCUCAAUCCACUCGUCGUUCCUUCACUGUACGUGCCGCUCGUGGUAAGUUCGAGAGGAAGAAGCCUCAUGUCAACAUCGGUACGAUUGGUCAUGUUGACCAUGGGAAGACCACUCUAACCGCAGCUCUCACUAUGGCUCUCGCUUCCAUGGGAAACAGCGUUGCGAAGAAGUAUGACGAGAUUGACGCAGCGCCGGAGGAGAGAGCUCGUGGUAUCACAAUCAACACUGCUACCGUGGAGUACGAGACUGAGAACCGUCAUUACGCUCACGUUGAUUGUCCUGGUCACGCUGAUUACGUCAAGAAUAUGAUUACUGGAGCUGCUCAGAUGGACGGAGCUAUCCUCGUUGUCUCCGGCGCCGAUGGUCCUAUGCCUCAGACUAAAGAGCACAUCCUUUUGGCGAAGCAGGUUGGUGUUCCGGAUAUGGUUGUGUUCCUCAACAAAGAGGAUCAAGUAGAUGACGCAGAGUUGCUAGAGCUCGUUGAGCUUGAGGUUCGUGAGCUUCUCUCGUCCUACGAGUUUAACGGUGAUGAUAUUCCGAUUAUCUCUGGUUCUGCUCUUUUAGCUGUAGAGACACUCACUGAGAAUCCUAAUGUGAAGAGAGGUGAUAACAAAUGGGUAGAUAAGAUUUACGAACUUAUGGAUGCUGUUGAUAGUUACAUCCCAAUCCCUCAGAGACAGACUGAGUUGCCAUUCUUGUUAGCUGUUGAAGAUGUGUUCUCUAUCACUGGACGUGGUACCGUAGCUACAGGGCGUGUCGAGAGAGGUACCGUUAAGGUAGGAGAGACUGUAGAUUUAGUGGGUUUGAGGGAAACUAGGAACUACACUGUCACUGGGGUCGAAAUGUUUCAGAAGAUUCUUGAUGAGGCUUUAGCUGGUGACAAUGUAGGGUUGUUGCUUAGGGGUAUUCAAAAGGCUGAUAUUCAGAGAGGUAUGGUUUUGGCUAAGCCAGGAUCCAUUACUCCACAUACCAAGUUUGAAGCAAUUGUGUAUGUGUUGAAGAAAGAAGAAGGUGGAAGGCAUUCUCCAUUCUUUGCAGGUUACAGGCCUCAGUUCUACAUGAGGACGACUGAUGUUACGGGUAAAGUGACAAAGAUUAUGAACGACAAAGACGAAGAGUCGAAGAUGGUUAUGCCCGGUGAUCGAGUCAAGAUUGUUGUUGAGCUUAUUGUGCCGGUGGCUUGUGAACAAGGUAUGAGGUUUGCUAUCAGAGAAGGAGGUAAGACUGUUGGAGCUGGAGUUAUUCAGUCUAUCAUCGAAUGAUUAUAAAAUGGGGGUUUUAGAGAGUUUCACAUAGUGAGCAUCUACUUGCUUUCUUUUUGUUUCCCUCUUGAUUCUCAAACUCUUUUGAGUUUUUUACUUCUCUUUUCUUUUUGUGCCAUUUUCUAUAAGAACUUGAAAUCAAAAUGUCAUAUAUUUCUUGAUUUAUUAGCCCUCCGUAUAAUUCGUGCAUUUGAUUUGGGUCCGAAGAUCAAUGGUUUAUUCUAGGGAUACAAUUAUUAUGUGGAUUUCACAUUACUCAAAAGUUAAUUGUAUUAUGACUUUGAUCUUUUAAAGUGUACAAAGUACUCUAUGAUUGGAAAUUACACAAAUAACUAAAACAUGGAAGUUGAAAUGUUAUAUAUAUCAUUUAGAAGAGGAAAGAGAGAGCUUAUGGAAUGCGACCACCACAUCUGCC
rnacentral:lncRNA from 1 species